GCUCGGCCCCGCGGGGGAAGGUGCCAAGUUUCUCCCUGACAUAGUGAUUCCAGCAGCCUGUCCGCCCCGAUCCUCGUGUCGCGGCCACUGCUCUGCCCCUGGGGAGUUUGAUAUUGAUAUUUAGUUGGCAUCUAACCAGAUCACCGCUACUAUACAGUUUAUGUGGAGACCGAGGCACUGAUCUUCAAACUGGAGCCUUUCCAGACAUCAGGACCUUUCUGCAAGCAGAAGCCCCAUCUUUAAAGAAUACAUUCCUCAGACUGAAAAAGGGACUACACUGAUCUGAUGAGCAGACCUCACUGCAGAAUGUGCCGCUCUCAGUUUUGAUAUCAAACACAGCCUGUGCUAUGCAGACAAGCUGCUGACGGGUGACUGGUCAGCCAGAAUUCUCGCUUUCUCUGAAUGCUCCUACAUUCCAAGCCAGCCUGGGCAAAACAUUACAAUUUAUAUUUGGAAGUACGCAAAAUAAUUAUUUGUUCAGCCUUUGAGUCCAGAUUGGUCAGCACAAUUUUGUGAAAAUCCAUGUGUUCAGUCUUUAUUGUGUGCCAAGAAUGAACUGCCUAUAAAAGAGAAUGACAUAACACUUAAAGCAAGUUACUGAUGUGUUUAGAGAACUGUCAUGUUCUAGCUGAAAUCUCAAACGUUUAUUAAUUGGACAACAAGCCUUACACAGUGUGAUACUUAAACACAUGAAGUCUGGCUCUCUCUUAUUGCUGGAGACGUAAAAUGAAGGAAAUCAGUGGAUGCUUUGGAGCAAGUUCUAGGCACAUUGCAGCCAUUAAUCAAGAAAGGACUUCUGAAGGCAUGUGGAAAAUAUUGAAGAAUGUCAGGAAAAACAAAAGAAAGGACAAAACAAAAGAACAAAAAAAGGAGGGAUGUGGAAGAUAUUUUACAUCCUUGCCAUUCAGUUAAAAGACACUUAAGCAGCAUGUGUUAUGCUGGAUUACGUGAAGAAACAUUGUCUUCUAUCAGUUGCCACUGGGUAAAUUAAACCUACAAUGAAGAGCUUAGAAUAAACACUGAGAUUUUGAAAUCAAACAGAACAUGUUCAUUGCAAAUAAUCAUUUUGCAAAAGGUCCACUGUGUAUGGACCUUUAAGUGGAAGAAAGAAUAUUCUUCUUUCUAGUACCCACCAUUAUUCAGCAGCAUAGAGACAAAUUAAGUAUGCUCUAAGUGGCAGGGUUCAUUGCAGUACCAGCCAAAGCCUAAGAAGUUGCAGCUAUGUUACAUGGCAGACCCCAGCCUCGGCUUGUGCUGAGUUCCAGUCUCAGCAAGAACUUGGCCUCAUAAGGUGUACUGUUACAGGCAGAUCCAUCACACCCUGCUGUUCACUAAUUUGCAGCUGGAGCAGGUAAUUUCAUACGCUUGCCCUCUGGCAUCGAUCAUCACACCUCUGCCAUUCCAUCACAGCUAUUUACUACCAACUGGACUUGUUCAGCUGCUGCCCCAGCUGUCUGGCUUCAAACACCCAGCAUGUGAAACAAAAACCCAGCUCUGUCACAGAGCAUAUUAUUUUCUCUGGAGAUGUGGCUGAACAAGGAUUCAGCAAAGCCCAUGGCAAUCCCCAGGCUGCGGCUGCCACCUCCCGGGCUCCUCGGGUAACCACUCCUGCCAGCCAUCCUGCUGAGCAGGCAGAAUUGUCUGAACAACUCAGUGAUGCCUUUUGGAGUGUUCUUCCACUUUGGAGUAAUUAGAUUUAUGUUCACCUAUUAACUUUCCCUCGUGGCCAAGUUAGUAGCUUGUGGAGAUCCUCCUUAUGCUCAUCUACACUUCCUUAUCAAUUGAAAUUUAUUGCAAGGACUUUUAAAAGGUGAAAAUUGAAACAGGUGUCACCCUAUGACAGUGAACCGAUAAAGAACCAUAGAAACACAAGUCCACAGAAUUUUUUAUUAAAAUAACACCAAGAAAUUGAUGCAGUGCAAUGACAUUUUAACUCAUCUUAGAAAAAAAAAAAAA